GUGCUCACUUUGGCAAUACAUGAUACUAAUAUUAGAACGAUACAGAGAUUAGCAUGACCCCUGUGCACGGAUGGUAUGCAAAUUUGUGAAGCCUUCCAUAUUUUU
ensembl:snRNA U6 U6 spliceosomal RNA